rnacentral:rRNA from 1 species
UACGAAGGGGGCUAGCGUUGCUCGGAAUUACUGGGCGUAAAGCGCACGUAGGCGGUCUUUUAAGUCGGGGGUGAAAUCCUGGAGCUCAACUCCAGAACUGCCUUCGAUACUGGAAGACUCGAGUCCGGGAGAGGUGAGUGGAACUGCGAGUGUAGAGGUGAAAUUCGUAGAUAUUCGCAAGAACACCAGUGGCGAAGGCGGCUCACUGGCUCGUAACUGACGCUCAGGCGCGACAGCGUGGGGAUCAAACAGG